CCGGUACACAGAGCUUCAAUCUAUACCUGUCAUAUAAGGAGAAUAAUUGGAUAGUUUGCGUUUUAGCAGUUCUUGGAGUUGCCAGGCAAAUUGUAUGCCUAUAUAUGUGCAAAAUAAAAAUAAAACAGACAGAAAAUCACUCAACGUCAGGGAAUACAGAAUAGAUGGGCGUUCUUAUUCUUAAGAAUGGCAAAAUGACCAAAAGUUUUGUAUGUAGUGUUGGAGUUUGAAUACUGAGAUGUAAGCACAUAUACUGCC